rnacentral:rRNA from 1 species
UGGGGAAUCUUGCGCAAUGGGGGAAACCCUGACGCAGCGACGCCGCGUGCGGGAUGAAGGCCUUCGGGUUGUAAACCGCUUUCAGCAGGGACGAGGCCUUAUGGUGACGGUACCUGCAGAAGAAGCUCCGGCUAAAUACGUGCCAGCAGCCGCGGUAAUACGUAUGGAGCAAGCGUUAUCCGGAUUCAUUGGGCGUAAAGCGCUCGUAGGCGGUCUGUUAGGUCGGCAAGUUAAAUCCUGGGGCUCAACCCCCGUCCGCUUCCGAGACCGGCAGACUUGAGUUUGGUAGGGGAAAGUGGAAUUCCUAGUGUAGCGGUGGAAUGCGCAGAUAUUAGGAAGAAUGCCGGUGGCGAAGGCGGCCUUCUGGGCCAUAACUGACGCUGAGGAGCGAAAGCUAGGGGAGCGAACAGG